GGGUCUGAGUGCAGUGGCGUUUACAACUUACUGAACACAACCAGUUACCAAUUUCUUUGUUCCUUUUCCACUCCCACUGUUUCACUUGACUAGCCUUGA
rnacentral:Y_RNA from 1 species